rnacentral:misc_RNA from 1 species
CUCUUCUGUUGGUGCCACCACGUUGAAGAAGCACCUGUCCUGCUCAACCAACCCCUUCUCUUUGAGAACCAUCAGCACGAGGUGCCGGGGCACUAUCCGCCUCUCGAGGCUGUACAUGAGAAGCACCGAACGGCGGGCGAUGUACUGCGGCGGCAGCCCGACCUCGUUGAGCAGGAACUCCGCGUUCCGGCGCAGCCUCUCCUCGGACGCAACCAGGAUCCGCGGCGCCUUACUGAUGGCCAGGCUCACCUCCUCCUGCGACCACCCGAGCGUCUCCUUGAGGACGGCGACCUUGGAGUCGACCUUCUCCUGCCCGAUACAUCCCGCGGUGGAGAGCGCGUGGCGAAACAUCUGGGAGCCCGGCGCCACGCCGAGCUGCGUGGCGCGCCGCACCGCGUCCUGGACAUACUCCGGAGGCAUGGUGACGAGCCGCGGCGCGGCCACGAGCAGCUUGGCGAUGUCGACUGCGCUGAGGCCGCACUUCCUGAGGAAGGCCACGUUGGGCUCCACCACCUUCUCGAGGUCGGAGCUGAGGAGCCAGUAGUUCCAGUCGCUGGCCUGGAGGAGCCGCUCGGGGGAGCCGAAGAGCGGGAGCCAGAACCGUACCUUGGAGACGAAGCUGCGGCAGAGGAAGUAGCGGCCGGCGAUCUGCGCGAGGCGCGCGAUCUGGGACGGGGAGAGGCCGAGCGCGCGGAGCUCCGUGGAGAUAGGAGCCAGGGAACGGUCGAUGCGAGCGCAGAGGACACGCGGAUUGGACGCCACAACGGCGGCCACCUCCUUUGGGGAGAGCCCGAGGUCCGCAAGGAAGGCGAGCACCGCGUCCGCGUUGGAUGCGGACUUGAGGUGCGCCAGGCUCUUGGACGCCUUGAGCGCCUGCGGUGGGGUGAGGUGGCAGCUGGCGAUGAGGUAGUCCUCGACGGCGAAGGUGCUCGCGGGAGCGGGACCCGGGGUGGCGGUUGUGCUCGUGGCGGCCGCGCGGGUGGCGGUGAGGCGGAGGCAGCAGUGGGUGGGGAGGGGCAGCAGGGAGACGGCGACGAGGGGGGCUGCGGCGGAGAAGAAGAUGAGAGGCAUGGCUGGGAGUGGGAGCGGGUGGUGAUUUUUGACUUGAGUCGCAUACUCGCAUGUAAUCCACAGUUCAGUGGACGGUGGCGCACGCAGACGGCAACGGCGCAACAGCAAAUGCCAAAUGAAAUAUUUUGUUGUUUUUGGAAACAAGAAUUUCAUAAUUAGAAUAAUUUUUGAAAAGUUUAGAAUUUGUAUUUGAGCUACGAUAGCUAAACUUCGGGGGG